UUAUGCUGUGCGUUGAUGUCGUAAAUUUAAUCGUCUCAUUGUACACUAUCUUUGUCGUUUACUUAUCAUAUAAAAAAACUAAGAUCAACACACACCAACAUUCAACACACAGAAUGAAGUUCUUUCCCAGCUGCUUCUGACUUCCAAACGUCUGUAGCAGCAGCUGAUGAUCAGCAACACCAACCCCACAAACUAGCCGACGGAGUUCCUAACCCCAAUCCCUUCGUUGAGUGGCCUGCGAAGGUAAUCCGAUUUUGCCUUUCAUGGGCUGCUGCAAUCGCUUUUCUAUCUCUCCAAAUUCAUGCCCCACUCCCUCUAAGCUUCCACUUUCCCUCUCACGCCGUCGUUAUUGCAGUAGCUCUGCUCUUUGUCUCGAAGUUCAUCUAUACCAAGUCCCCAAAGCUAGCCCGAGCUCUAGAGGAUGUGGGUGUCCUCUUUGGAGUCACAGCCUUCUUCUUCGCCAUCACCAUACCUUUCCCAAUUUACAUUAAGCUCGUUUACUGGACCAUCUAUGCUCUUUCUCUGCUUGCAAUUUUCCACUGUAACCGUUAGCUUAACCAUGUUCUGAUCAGGUGGCCAUUUUUAAUUAUGCAGUAUAAGAGGCUCCCACCGCUGCAGGACGCUGGAGAGGCUCACAUGUAUGUAGUUUUACAUGCUGUUCCGUGUUAUACUACUAGCAUUACCAAAAAAUAAGUGUAAUCGAUCCUGCAUGCAAGAUGUUUGAUGGAUUGUUAAUGAUGUAAUUUUGUUGUUACUAUUACUUGCACAGGUAUCAUUAUUACAGUUCCGAUUUGUAAUUGUUAGUUGGUAGCUCAGAUCGAACAUGUCAUUGUCCCUUUAUAGGAAAUGGAGGUAACCAGAGAAGCAGAAACUAGACCUGAAAUUUGAGAGUUUUAAGGAUUCCUAUACAGGUACGCGAUCUGUUUCUUGAGAUAUAUAUGCUUAGAUUUUGCGUCAUAUGUGGCAUUUUUAUUGCAUCUAAUUGACUUCCACUAGUAGACUCGCUUUAUCAUGCACUUUGUUUGUCAUCAUCAUCCUUGUACUGAUUCCACCCAAUUAGAGUCGGCCACAUGAAUUCUUCUUUUUCCAUUCUUCUGAUACAAUUCAUGUCUCUUAUCAUGUUUAAUUUUAUACGUCGUCUAUAACUUCAUCCCAAUUUAAUUUUGGUCUUUCUAUUUGCGUGUAGCAUCUAUUUUAUUUUAUUUUUUUUUUCUACUGCAUGUUACGACGUAUGUUGUAUAUGACCAAACUAUUUAUCACUCAACUUAUCUUUCUCUAACAUGUUGAUUACUUUGCGAGUUUUCUCCUCCGACCCAACCAGGAGAAAACACUGGACUAAACUCUUUUUUUCUCUCUACUUUAAUUGUCUUUUAGGCUUUUAGGGUCCUCCUCAUCCAUCCAAGCAUUUCCAAUUUGGCAUCAUAAGACUAGCUUGUCUCCCCUUUGCCCAAUCUGUUGCAAUCCUACUUAUUACAUAUUCUAUUUUCCCAUUUUGUAUUAUUGAUCUUAAAUCUGCAAAUAAUUAUUAUGAAUAUUCCUCUGUGAUGGAGAACCAGGCCUGGCCGAGAGCUUGAAAACCACUUGGCCCACACCUACUAUUGGAGACAUGGGAAAGAAAGAUAAAAUUAGGGAUUUUUGUUUAUUUAUUAUUAUUAUUAUGGGAUAUUUCAGCAAUUUAGUAUUUUAUUUAUGGUAAUAGGUUUAUUAGGGUUUUUCUUCGAUGCCUAUUUAUAUGUUGGUUUAGACAUUGUGAAAGUUAGCUUUUGAUGAUUAUUAUUAAUAUUGAAUUUGUAAUUAUCUGUGAUUUCUUCUCACUCUGAAUUCUUCUACUCUUCUGAUUUCUUUCCUUCUAUUCUUAUUCCAUUUCUCUCUCAAUCUCUUUCUUAUUCUACUUGAAUUCUGAUUUUGAAUCGCCCCUACCCACUACUGCAUCAAUUGGCAUCAGAGCAAAGAUCCAUAGAUUUCUCUACUGUUCACAGCAACCAAACCACACCCUACUGUUCACAGCAAUCAAACACGUACUGUUCAACCCUAAAACCCCAACAAACCCUAGUCACCACUGCCACUGCCACUGCCAUCAUCCAUCACAACCACCACAGUAUUUACCCACUGUUCACUGUAAUCUGAACCAAAUCAGUCAUCAAACACAAGCCAUCUACAAACCCUAGCACCAAUCCCAACAUCAACCCUAAACCCAACCAAGCCAAAAAAAAAAAAGGAUCCACGCUUUUAGCCCUCGCCAUCGGAAAUCCUUGUGUGAUUGUUGUCAUCAACAAUAGCCGUCGCCGAAAAUCGGUCGCAGUACGUAGUUUUCUCUCGCCGUCACUGCUGCCAUCCUCACGUCAUCCAAGCCUUGUGUAGCUCGCAAGUCUAACUUCAGCCAAGAACUUUGUGCACUCUAUUGCAACUCUCACUGAGAUUUCAGCAUUAUUCUGGAAAGUCAACUUUGGAAUAUUUAUUCACCAAAAUUUCAGCGUGACUGAUUUUGGAAAGUCAACUUUGGAUUAUGACUAUUUUGGAAGGUCAACUUUGGGUUAUUGCUAAUCUUUGCAACCUUAUUGUCACCAAAAUUUUAGCGCUACUGAUUUUGGAAAGUCAACUUUGGAUUAUCCCGUCUGGUUUGGAAAGUUCAGAUUUGGGUUUGGGAAGGAUAUUUUUUGUUUCCUUAUAAACUGGAUUUAACCAAACUCAAAUUUAAAAUAGUCAGAUCCAGCCCAUUUCAGGAAGUAGCAGAUUGAGUAUUUAGGCCUAAGCUUAGCCCAGUUCAGAAGAUCAGAUCGAGCCACAACAGAAUAGUUCUGUUCAGUAGUAGACUGACAAAAAAAAAAAAAAAAAAGGAGCCCUAGAAUUCCUACUUCAGUUCAAGCAGCUAUUUUGGGGUAAUCUUCAACACUCGGAGCAUUCAAUUGGGAUCUACACAUUCUUCACUUGAAAAUUGUUUUAGUACUUUUAUCUUUUUGAUUGGUUUAGAAAUUGCAAAAGGUCCUAAUUGAACCCAUUUGAUUAUUCUUAUUGUUUGUAGAAACUGGCGUGCAAAUAAAUUGGGAAGUAAUGGUGCUAAUAAAAUUUUCAUGGGUAAUUAGGCAGAAUGUUUUGAGCUUCCAAACACUGCUAAAUUUGCAGGCAACCUGGGUUUUGGCGAUUAAGGUAAAUAAUGGACCGGUGAAGGAAUGGUGCAUCAUUGCAACCAUCGUUCUAUAUAAGUUCUUUCUUUUUUCCAUUUUUUUCUCCCCACAAUCUUUUUUCUUCGCUUUUCUAGGUUUUAUAAUAUUGUCCUUUUAUUGGUGUUAAUUGAUUACAAUGUUGUAAGUCAAUUCUUUUUAUGUUUUUGCAAGUUUCUAAUGGCAUUUCCUUUGAGUUUUUACUAUUUCAAAUGAAAUAUAUUGUAUUUAAUUAUAUUUAGAAUCAAGAACUUGAAGUUAUUUCUAUUCUUCUUCCCUAGCCCUCCCCUUAGUGAAUAACUUUUUGGGUUAUCAUGGUGUUCUGUUAUAAGUUUUUUUUUUUUCCCUAAAUGGUGGAAUUUUUUUAUUAAUAAAAAUAUGCA